UUCCGGUUGAUCCUGCCAGACCUGACUGCUAUCGGAUUGAUACUAAGCCAUGCGAGUCUUUGUAGUAAUACAAGGCAGACGGCUCAGUAACACGUAGUCAACCUACCCUAUGGACGAGAAUAAUCUCGGGAAACUGAGCAUAAUUCUUGAUAGAUCAUAAUGCCUGGAAUGGUUUAUGGUUAAAAUGAUUCGUCGCCAUAGGAUGGGACUGCGGCCUAUCAGCUUGUUGGUGAGGUAAUGGCCCACCAAGGCGAUUACAGGUACGGGCUCUGAGAGGAGAAGCCCGGAGAUGGGUACUGAGACACGGACCCAGGCCCUAUGGGGCGCAGCAGGCGAGAAAACUUUGCAAUGUGCGAAAGCACGACAAGGUUAAUCCGAGUGAUUUCUGCUAAAGAAAUCUUUUGCCAGUCGUAAAACCGCUGGUGAAUAAGGGGUGGGCAAGUUCUGGUGCCAGCAGCCGCGGUA
rnacentral:rRNA from 1 species